GUAGGUGGCAAGCGUUGUCCGGAAUUAUUGGGCGUAAAGCGCGCGCAGGCGGUUCUUUAAGUCUGAUGUGAAAGCCCACGGCUCAACCGUGGAGGGUCAUUGGAAACUGGAGAACUUGAGUACAGAAGAGGAAAGCGGAAUUCCACGUGUAGCGGUGAAAUGCGUAGAGAUGUGGAGGAACACCGGUGGCGAAGGCGGCUUUCUGGUCUGUAACUGACGCUGAGGCGCGAAAGCGUGGGGAGCAAACAGGAUUAGAUACCCUGGUAGUCCACGCCGUAAACGAUGAGUGCUAAGUGUUAGGGGGUUUCCCGCCCCCUUAGUGCUGCAGCUAGCGCAUUAAGCACUCCGCCUGGGGAGUACGGCCGCAAGGCUG
rnacentral:rRNA from 1 species